CAUGGUCUGACAUAUCAUCAUCUCUCCAUUCAGUUCUCCAAACUUACCUCAAUCCUUCCCAGAUGUUUGGGUUUUAUGGAGGCAUUCUCAUCACGUUCGAUCACUGUCCCCUGCUCUCGAAUGCUUGUUUAUAACCGCAGUGUGGAGCCUCUGGAAAGAGAGGAACACAAGAGUCUUUCAUUUUAUCGCCAUCAUGCCUUCUGUAACAACUAG
rnacentral:lncRNA from 1 species